rnacentral:rRNA from 1 species
AUUGAACGCUGGCGGCAGGCCUAACACAUGCAAGUCGAGCGGAGCGGCGGACGGGUGAGAAAUACCUAUGAACCUGCCUGGUAGUGGGGGGUAACGUCCGGAAGCGGGGGCUAAUACCGCAUCCUCUCAACUUAGCCUCGGUGGGAUUAGCUAGUGGGUGGGGUAAAUGCCUACAAAGGCGACGAUCCGUACCUGGUCUGAGAGGAUGAUCAGCAACACGGGAAUGGGGAAACGGCCCAGACUCCUACGGGAGGCAGCAGUGGGGAAUAUUGGACAAUGGGCGAAAGCCUGAUCCAGCCAGGCCGCGGGUGUGAAGAAGGUCUUCGGAUUGUAAAGCACUUUAAGUUGGGAGGCGUUACCAACAGAAUAAGCACCGGCUAACUUCGUGCCAGCAGCCGCGGUAAUAC